AGAAUGAACGUUGGCGGCGUGGAUUAGGCAUGCAAGUCGAGCGCGAACCCGCAAGGGUGAAAGCGGCGAAAGGGAGAGUAACGCGUGGUUAUCUGCCUCUAGGCUCGGGAUAGCUGUGGGAAACUACAGGUAAUACCGAAUAAUAUCUCCGGAUCAAAGGUGUGAUUCCGUCUAGAGAUGAGACCGCGUCCUAUUAGCUAGUUGGUAGGUAAUGCCUACCAAGGCAAUGAUGGUACUGGGUGUGAGAGCACGACCCAGCUCACUGGGACUGAGACACUGCCCAGACACCUAACGGGUGGCUGCAGUCCGAGAAUCGUUCGGACAAGUGGGACGACAACGCCUAGACCCGAAGCCGAACGCCGACGUCGGCGGGAAUUAAGGCCGUUCGGGUUAGUAAACCCGCCGUUGUCGAAGGAGGA
rnacentral:rRNA from 1 species